rnacentral:lncRNA from 1 species
UUUUGCCGAUCAUUUUAUCCCUAGGUAAUCGAUCCUUACAGUUCCUUCCUUCCACCGUUCCUUAUCCAGACCUUCUGUUUUUUUCCUCUGCUUCCCGAUCCUUCCACUCUUCCACACACAAAUCAAACUCAUAGGAGUUCCGACUUGUCGAUUCCUCUAUUAUACCAUCGAAGAGUGCAGUCGAUCGGUCGCUGAGUUCGCUUCUAUCGCUCCGCCAUAGCCGACGCCUUUGCUUUUUGUUUCAGUUUUCGCCGUAUCCAUCUUCUCCAUUUUCUUUCUUCUCUUCGUUUGUGUGCUUGCAAGUAAAAUCUUCGGUUUGUGUUUAGUUUUGUUUGGUUCGUUCGGUUCCUGCUGUUUUUUUUUUGCCCCCUAAGGCGGUGACGAAAGGAGUUCACUCCAAUAUUCCAAUGACGGAAGAGUCGGCACAGGUGGAGAAGCAACACAAGAAAACGCUGACAGAGGCCAACGCCACCGCCGUCGUUUUUUUACCUCGAUCACUACCACCAUCAGCCGACUCAUCUGGACCUUAGAUUAGGGCUUGAUGAAGACCAUCGCUCCCACCGGACUCACUCAAACGAGAAUGGAGGAAGAUUCCUUUCUGACCACCGCCUCAUCUGGACCUGAUAUUAGGGCUUGAUGAAGACGAUUGCAGACAAGAAUCACUGUUGGGUUAGUUUGAUUCCUUUCUCACCAGUCUCACCAGUGGAGAAGAACCUGUCGACAGACCUCUGACUUUGAUGGAUGUAAGUUUCCAUGUUAAUUUCAUUUAUUUUUUAUUCUUAAUCUCUAUGCAUAUGGUUGCCCAAAGCAAACCUGGUAGAUGUUAUGCUACACAAAUAUGGUUUGCGAUGUGGUUUUGAUUAUAGUUUACAGAUUUGUGUACUGAUUUUGCUUUAGUUAUUUAGGGUCUUGAUUUUGAUUUUCAGUAUUGGUCUUAUUCUCUUAUUUUUGGGUUUUGACUGAUUUAAAAAAAGUGUGGGUUUUGAUGUUGCUUCAUGAAUCAUCUUCUCCAUCACAAGUUGGCAAUAGCCCUAUGAGUAGGUAAUGAUGAAAACAUAUUUCAAUUUUCAGGCCUAAAAAUCAUAAUAUUUGAUAGUUGUAUUGGAGUAAUGAUGAAAAAUUAUUGGUAGAGCUUAUUCAAACAUAAGCUUUUCAAUCAUGACAAGCCUAAUACCAAGUAUGUUUUUUUUUUUUUUUUUUUUUUCAGAAUCUGCAUUUGGUGGAUCCUAAAUACACUGGGCAGAUGUUAAAGAAAGUUUUCUUUAUUAUUUUUAAUCUUGUAUGACCUACAGUAUUGAAUUUUGUUAUUUAUUUGUAGACACUUGGAGAAACAGAACGAACUUCUCAUGGAUGCUUAUAGAUCAAUGUCACAUGCAUUACAUAAACUUCAGGUGAUGCAUUCUUAUGUUCAUCUUUAUUUUUAUAUUAAUAAAGAUUAAAAAGAUGUUUAGUUUUUAUAAUUGGAUUCCAUUCCAUCUUCUAUUACAAACGGCCGAUUGUUACUCCUUCGGAAGUCCUUUUAGAUUAUGAUUCUUAACAUAAAUUGUUGAAGGGUAAAAUUGGUAUUUUGAAGAAAAAAAACUUGGAAAAUAAAUUAUAGGAAUAUUAAUCAAUUGUAAUCUUUUUUUAACUUAUUUUGUUAACUUAUAAGUUACAUGUAUAAUAAAGUAGUUGAAUACUAGGCUUAGGAAUUGGGACGAGGCUUGAAAAUGGUUAACUCCAUGAUGGAACAUUCUAAGAGAUAAAGGCUUAAGCCGAAGAUUCAAAAUGGUACUAUUUUUAACUUUCUUUAUUUGUGUUUAUAUCUUUUUGUGAUUUGAUUAUAUAUUUAUUCUUACAAGAAUCAAAGUUACGGUUUUAAAAAUAGAAGUGAUAGUUUGUUAUUAUUUCAUGUCUUUUUUAGUUUAAUGGUAUUUUUAAAACAUUUUGCAUAGUUUUUAUUAUGUUGUAGCCACAAUAUUAUGUAAAAACUGAAAUUUAACGACUAAAAUUGUUAUAUUGAAGAGUAAUCUACAAUCCGAAGUUCAUGCGUCAAGAACAUCGUUUGGGUACGUUUCAACCCUAGAAUUUUCCAAUUUCAAGCUUUAUUCAUUUUAGUUUUCUGUUUCCUUUUUUUAUCCAUACAGCUGCGGGUUUACAAGGCUCCUGAGUUGGAAAUAUCUAAAAUUUUGUUGUAAGUUUUUUUUAUGUUUGAAUAGGUUUUUGGAAUGUUGACGUGGCAAUAUCAACAAGUCAUUAUAAAACAUCUUGCAUUGGAGAUGCUUUUGGUGUUGUUUGCUUGAAAUUUAUUGAUUGAAAUGCUUGAAAAUUUGACUAAUUUUAUUUCAAUUUUGUUCUUCAAACAUCCGUCUUCUUCAGUAAUCAUUUCUGCACUUAGAAGUGUUGGGAAUAUUGUUACAAGCGAUGAUCACCAAACUCAGGUACAAAUUCUACAUACUUUCCCCAUUAAGUCCUAACUCUUUACAAAUUUUCCCUCGAUUUUUUUUCCACUUCCCCCAAAUGUGAUGCCAUUUUCACAAAUAUCUUUUUAAAAUCGUUUAUCCAGACAACCCUUAUGGGAAAGAAAGAAAGAAACAGGUCUCUGUUGGACCUCCUUUGAGAUUCAUGUAUUCUAGAAUGUCAAAGUAGGAAAAGUCAAAGUCAAGCAGAAUUUGGGUUUAAUAAGUGGUUUUGAGGGAGUCUAUUUUGUUAGAUGAAAUUAGUCAGAAAAGGUUGUUAAGAGAGUGUAUUAAUCAGUGAAAGAAAACAAUGAGAAGUAAUUUGUCUAAAAUUAUAAAUAACCCUUUUCUUUUUCUUAUCUCUAAAAUUUAUAGUUAUUGAUUUGUGAUGUUCAUUUUCAUAUUUUUCGGCAUUAACUUAUUUAAAAAAAAUCGUAUGUUGAAUGUUUACAACAUUUUUUUUAGCAUUAGGUUGGUUUCUACAAUAAUGCGAUCAAUAAAAGUAAAUUGUUAUUUAUUGCAUUUAAGUUGUCGAUGCAAUCCUUCUUAUUGAUAAGAACGAGCGGACGCCAAAAGUGAUUGUAUUUGUUUAUCCCAAUCCCCGCAACGCAGGGCUCCUCGUCUAGUUUAAAAGAUAUAUUAGAAAGGUAUUUAAAAAUAUACACAAGUAUAUGCAAUGUACUUUCAAUUUUUAAUGAGGAAAUCGUCACCCAUUUUCACGAUUCUUAUGUUAUUAGACUCUGACAUGUACAAAAAAUCUUUAUGAAUAUGCCUACUUAUUGUUGUCCGAUCAAGGUGAUUCCAGAAAUACAUACGAAAUUCAAUCCCGA